CACUGGUCCAAAGGUAGUUAGUGAGUUAUCUCAACUAACUGUUCACAGUUACAGAUCUAACUCAUUCUACUCUUGCCUUCCUUCUCACUAUUGCACUUGACUAGUAUUAA
rnacentral:Y_RNA from 1 species